rnacentral:rRNA from 1 species
CUACGGGGUGCUGCAGUGAGGAAUAUUGCACAAUGGGGGGAACCCUGAUGCAGCAACGCCGCGUGGAGGAUGACGCAUUUCGGUGUGUAAACUCCUUUUAUAUGUCAAGAAAAUGACGGUAGCAUAUGAAUAAGCACCGGCUAACUCCGUGCCAGCAGCCGCGGUAAUACGGAGGGUGCAAGCGUUACUCGGAAUCACUGGGCGUAAAGGACGCGUAGGCGGGUUGGAAAGUCAGGUGUGAAAUCCUACAGCUUAACUGUAGAACUGCACUUGAAACUUCUAAUCUAGAGUAUGGGAGGGGGAGAUGGAAUUAGUGGUGUAGGGGUAAAAUCCGUAGAUAUCACUAGGAAUACCUAAAGCGAAGGCGAUCUCCUGGAACAUUACUGACGCUAAGGCGUGAAGGCGUGGGGAGCAAACAGGAUUAGAUACCCCGUGUAGUC